UACGGGGGGAGCAAGCGUUGUUCGGAUUCAUUGGGCGUAAAGGGUGCGUAGGUGGCGGGGUAAGUCAGGUGUGAAAUCUCGGAGCUCAACUCCGAAACUGCACUUGAUACUGCCUUGCUCGAGUACUGGAGAGGAGAUUGGAAUUACGGUGUAGCAGUGAAAUGCGUAGAUAUCGUAAGGAAGACCAGUGGCGAAGGCGAAUCUCUGGACAGUUACUGACACUGAGGCACGAAGGCCAGGGGAGCAAACGGG
rnacentral:rRNA from 1 species